AGGUGGUCUGACUGCAGUGGUAUUUACAACUAAUUGAUCACAGCCGGUUACAGAUUCUUUUGUUCCUUCUCUGCUCCCACUGCUUCACUCCACCAGAAA
rnacentral:Y_RNA from 1 species